UUAAAUUGAAGAGUUUGAUCAUGGCUCAGAUUGAACGCUGGCGGCAGGCCUAACACAUGCAAGUCGAACGGUAACAGGAAGCAGCUUGCUGCUUUGCUGACGAGUGGCGGACGGGUGAGUAAUGUCUGGGAAACUGCCUGAUGGAGGGGGAUAACUACUGGAAACGGUAGCUAAUACCGCAUAACGUCGCAAGACCAAAGAGGGGGACCUUCGGGCCUCUUGCCAUCGGAUGUGCCCAGAUGGGAUUAGCUUGUUGGUGGGGUAACGGCUCACCAAGGCGACGAUCCCUAGCUGGUCUGAGAGGAUGACCAGCCACACUGGAACUGAGACACGGUCCAGACUCCUACGGGAGGCAGCAGUGGGGAAUAUUGCACAAUGGGCGCAAGCCUGAUGCAGCCAUGCCGCGUGUAUGAAGAAGGCCUUCGGGUUGUAAAGUACUUUCAGCGGGGAGGAAGGGAGUAAAG
rnacentral:rRNA from 1 species